CAUUAAACAUCUGCAUAAUCUCUAUAAGCUUAUAACUUUGGUAAAUAUGGGAAAAUCAACAAAGAAAUCAGCUUCCAAGGUAAAUAUUGUUAGCUUUCUCACGUUUUCUUUGUGCAGCUAUUGUAGAUGAUUAUUGUUGAUAUGCCUACCUCGUCCCAAAUAAAUAAGUAAAUAGAAAAUUAAGAAAUUUGUUAAUGAAAGAUUAUUAGAAGCAUGUAUUAAGAUUAUACUCAACUGUACAACCAAGAUUUGAUUCAAAGGAGACUGAAAGGAAGGAAAGAUGAAAAUGCAAAAUUUAUUUUAGAUGUUCUUCUAUCUCAAUUUAUAUGAAAGCUCAUUUUUGCUGUCUAGCAUAAAUACAAAAUGCAUGCUCUUUCUUAUUUAAUGCUUGAAAUAUUGAAUUUUUGCAAGAAAAUCUAUUCAAUGAAAUGAGGCUUAAACAAGAGGAUUGUGAAGCGGAAGUCGAUAAAUUGAAAAAGGAGAGAAGCAGAACUUUCGUCUCUGUAUGCUACUUCAUUAUCAAAAGUUCACGGUAUGCAAGUGUUUAAUAUAUCAUUGAUUGGGCAUAAAUGAGAUUUAGGCAUAUUAGGAAUGAGGUAACAAUAACAGAGAUUAUUCUAUCACAAUGUUUGGUAUAUAAAGCAAUCAUAACAAGUUUUUCUUACAUAUGACUAUAGGAAAUUGGUCCCUUGAAGUAAAACUUGAUGCUCCAUUCCGAUCUUAAAAUAUAGUGAGAAAAAGAAAAGAAUAGGGGGAGAGCUAAAAUAAAUUUAGGAUUACACAUUGGUCCUCUUAUUAUUGAAAAAUUAUCAUUACAGUUUUUACUUUUGACAAAGUGUAGACAUUCUCCUAGGUCCAAAAUGUUCGUGUACGACAUGAGUUUGAGGAUUAGGUUCAUCUUUCUAUAUUCUGUGAAAGGGUGACUGGAAGUAUAAUUUUCUUGUUCAAGACAUGCCAGAUAUUUUACUAUAUAUCAAGCUUAAGUUGUGGAUGCUGCUUUUCCUACUUGCUUAUUUAGGAUGGAGCGCAUAUCUAAAUCAAAUUAUUUUUCACUGCCUUCUUUAUAUUAUUAAAAUUUCUAUAGGUACAUGAAACUCUCAUUUUAUACUUCAUAUUUGGAAUUUUAUUUCCAGAUAAGCCUUUAUUCUAAUUUGUAGUUCUGUGUUUUGUAGGAAAUGACAAUCUCCAGUCUCCAGGAGCGGUUAGGAGAUCCAGCCAUCGGAAACAACCCUAUCUUACGUCUUAUUGCUGGGAUUAUAUUCAUGCAUGAGCAGGAUUAUAAUGAAAUUUUGAAACAUACAAAUGCAGGGGAAACCAUGGAUCUGUGAGUCUUUUCUAGAUUUGAUGAUGAGAAUCUCUAGUUGUUUCCCUUCUAUUCUAGAUGAGCAUGGUGAAUCUUGAUAAUCUCUGGUUGAUUCCUGCAAUCUUCGAGGUGGUUGAUGCUUGAUGGAUAUGUAGAUUGUGACACACUUCUGCUGGCGGUGCUAUGUUUUUUUGUCCCAUGGAAUUUGUUAAGUUUGCUUGAUUGUCAAUUUUUUGGGUGGUGUGGUGAUACACUACUUUAGGUGCCCAAUCAAUGAAGGUAUGCAAGGCCAUGGUGCUGGAAUCUGAAAAUUUGAAAUUCAAAAUUAAUGAACUUGAUGCCAAAUUGAUGAACUCGUGUCGAAGAUUUUUGUGAAGAAAUUUGAGGAGGCCGAUGGGGUUGUUUCUCACUACUUAGUUUGUCGUAUUUUAUAUAUAUAUAUAUAUUUUGGAAAUUGUAUUGAAUUUUAGGUGCUUUAGAAUUUUGUAUGGAUAUUGUUAUGUUUUGGAGUUCAAUUAAUAAUAAUUGUUGGAGUUAUUUAAUA